AAUCGAUCGCCUAUCGAGGCGCCCCCUUCCCUGGCUCGUGGUGAUUUUGCAAUUUUCAUAGCUCUCGAGAGCGGGUGUGGAGAGGACUUCGCAUUCACUUUGCAACCGGUACAGCAGGUUGCUGGAGUGGCCCCUGCAUGGCCCGUUCUUUUUCCAGCCACAUCCCCAAUCAAACUCUUGGCCCCGCGCCCCCUUCUCUUGUUACUUGGGAAACCAUUAUGCUUUUUAUACCCGUUACUCGUAGAGUAAGAGGGUAUACUAGAUUCGUCGGAAAGUAUGUAACAGGCAGAAAGAAGCGUUUCC